rnacentral:rRNA from 1 species
UACGUAGGCAGCAAGCGUUGUUCGGAGUUACUGGGCGUAAAGGGUGUGUAGGCGGUUCUUUAAGUUUGCUGUGAAAUCUCCCGGCUUAACCGGGAGGGUGCGGUGAAUACUGAGGGACUAGAGUACGGGAGAGGAAAGUGGAAUUCCUGGUGUAGCGGUGAAAUGCGUAGAUAUCAGGAGGAACACCGGUGGUGUAGACGGCUUUCUGGACCGUAACUGACGCUGGAGACACGAAAGCGUGGGGAGCAAACAGG